rnacentral:tRNA from 1 species
GCCCUCAUAGCUCAACUGGUAGAGCAGUUGCCUCUUAAGCAAACGGUUGGAGGUUCGAGUCCUCCUGAGGGUACCA